rnacentral:rRNA from 1 species
CCUACGGGAGGCAGCAGUAGGGAAUCUUCCACAAUGGACGAAAGUCUGAUGGAGCAACGCCGCGUGAGUGAAGAAGGUUUUCGGAUCGUAAAACUCUGUUGUUGGAGAAGAAUGUAUCUGAUAGUAACUGAUCAGGUAGUGACGGUAUCCGACCAGAAAGCCACGGCUAACUACGUGCCAGCAGCCGCGGUAAUA